rnacentral:rRNA from 1 species
CUUAACUACUCUUGACAUCCAGGAAGCUGUGAGAGAUAAAGGGGUGCUUCGGGAGGGCUGAGACAGGUGCUGCAUGGCUGUGUCAGCUCGUGUUGGAAAUGUUGGGUUAAGUCCCGAACGAGCGCAACCCUUAUCUAUUGCAGCACAUAAUGGUGGGAACUUCAGGAGACUGCCGGUAUAAACCGGAGGAAGGGGGGAGACGUAAGUCAUCGCCCUUACGAGUGGGCUACACACGUGACAAUGCCGAUACAAGGGUUGCGAGCUCAGGAAUGUCAGCGAUCCCGAAAAGCCGGUCGCAGUCCGGAUUGGAGUCUGCAACUCGACUCCAUGAAGUCGGAAUCGCUAGUAAUCGUGAAUCAGAAUGUCACGGUGAAUACGUUCCCGGGCCUUGUACACACCGCCCG